UGCACUCCCUCUUUUUCACCCUGCAUUGCGCGGCAAUUCUGGUAAAAGGAGUUAAUCUUACUCUUUAGUUCUUUCGCUUAGUUUCUUAGUUCAUGUCAAUAGGUGCUAAUUUCCUAAAGAUGAUAGAUGAUGGACCUGCUAUUCUCACAUUGGGGAGAAACCCGGCUGUUGCUAAAGAAGAACAGCUUGAGCAGAGCGUUCAAUCUGUGACGCUGACAACCAAGCCAAAGAUCCCCAUAGUUGCCAGCUUGGCUGUUGUGUCCUGUCUGUGAGUCAUCCAGUGUGACUCCUUUAAGACGAAGCUCCUCUUGAACUCUCAACAAAUAAUCUGGAUCUGGAUAUCCAAAACUGGAAGGGACAAAGACAAGCUGCAGUGAUGACGUUGUUGAGGCCUGUGGUGACGGACCGACCAACGGUGAAGACGAGUCUCCUGUCAAACGCUUUCCUUAGCAGCUUCAGGAUUUUCUGACCCUCCUCGCUGUCUGGCAGGAAGGCCGUACGAGACGUGCUGCUGUACCUUGUCCCAGGGUUUGGGUGUUCGGGCUGUAAUUUGGUAAACAACAGCAUAUAUAUACUAGAGAUGAUUGACUCAUCUUACAUAUUUUAUAUUUAACAUUUUUAUACAUAAACGUUUGUACAAUGGGUGUUGCUUUAAAACAACAGAAUGGAUCUUUGGGAAGAGAUCUUCUUUGGUGAAUAAUGUUCGGGUGACAACAAACUGAUAUAGCUGAUUUUAAAAUGUGCUAGUAAAAUGGCUCAAAUGUGGCAAAAAUGUGCUUGUAAAAUGUACAAUCUAUAGAGAAAAUAUCCCUGUCUGCUACUGUAGCAUCAAUGCAAGGUCAUCUGGUAUUUUAUUUUUAUCAACUUGCAGCUCCAAAAUCAAUUUGUUUUACUUUAUCCAAUUAAAACAUUGUUAAAAUAAAGUUAUUGAAUAAAUUAAAAUGUUAUAUUACAUUUAAAGAUCGAAGCAAACAAUACACAAUAAC